AUUGAACGCUGGCGGCAGGCCUAACACAUGCAAGUCGAGCGAGCGGCGGACGGGUGAGUAAUGUCUGGGAACCUGCCUGAUGGAGGGGGAUCACUACUGGAAACGGUAGCUAAUAACGCAUACCAUCAGAUGUGCCCAGAUGGGAUUAACUGGUAGGUGGGGUAACGGCUCACCUAGGCGACGAUCCCUAGCUGGUCUGAGAGGAUGACCAGCCACACUGGAACUGAGACACGGCACAGACUCCAUAGGGAGGCAGCAGUGGGGAAUAUUGCACAAUGGGCUCAAGCCUGAUGCAGCCAUGCCGCGUGUGUGAAGAAGGCUUUCGGGUUGUAAAGCACUUUCAGCGGGGAGGCGUUACCCGCAGAAGAAGCACCGGCUAACUCCGUGCCAGCAGCCGCGGUAAUAC
rnacentral:rRNA from 1 species